CUACGGGGCGCAGCAGUGGGGAAUAUUGCACAAUGGGCGGAAGCCUGAUGCAGCAACGCCGCGUGAGGGACGACGGCCUUCGGGUUGUAAACCUCUUUUAGCAGGGAAGAAGCGAAAGUGACGGUACCUGCAGAAAAGCACCGGCUAACUACGUGCCAGCAGCCGCGGUAAUACGUAGGGUGCAAGCGUUGUCCGGAAUUAUUGGGCGUAAAGAGCUCGUAGGCGGUUUGUCGCGUCUGCUGUGAAAAUCCGAGGCUCAACCUCGGACCUGCAGUGGGUACGGGCAAACUAGAGUGCGGUAGGGGAGAUUGGAAUUCCUGGUGUAGCGGUGGAAUGCGCAGAUAUCAGGAGGAACACCAAUGGCGAAGGCAGAUCUCUGGGCCGUAACUGACGCUGAGGAGCGAAAGCGUGGGGAGCGAACAGGAUUAGAUACCCUCGUAGUC
rnacentral:rRNA from 1 species